CUGCAGAGAUGUGGUGGUCUUCGGACUGGUGUGCAGGUGGUGCAUGGUUGUCGUCAGCUCGUGUCGUGAGAUGUUGGGUUAAGUCCCGCAACGAGCGCAACCCUUGUCUCGUGUUGCCAGCACUUUGGGUGGGGACUCGCGAGAGACUGCCGGGGUUAACUCGGAGGAAGGUGGGGAUGACGUCAAAUCAUCAUGCCCCUUAUGUCUUGGGCUUCACGCAUGCUACAAUGGCCGGUACAGAGGGUUGCGAUACUGUGAGGUUGAGCGAAUCCCUUAAAGCUGGUCUCAGUUCGGAUCGAUGUCUGCAACUCGACAUCGUGAAGGCGGAGUCGCUAGUAAUCGCAGAUCAGCAAUGCUGCGGUGAAUACGUUCUCGGGCCUUGUACACACCGCCCGUCACGUCACGAAAGUUGGUAACACCCGAAGCUCAUGGCCUAACCACGUUUGUGGGGGGAGUGGUCGAAGGUGGGAUUAGCGAUUGGGACGAAGUCGUAACAAGGUAGCCGUACCGGAAGGUGCGGCUGGAUCACCUCCUUUCUAAGGA
rnacentral:rRNA from 2 species